rnacentral:rRNA from 1 species
AGAGUUUGAUCCUGGCUCAGAAUCAACGCUGGCGGCGUGCCUAACACAUGCAAGUCGAACGCGAAAGUCCCGCAAGGGAUAAGUAGAGUGGCAAACGGGUGAGUAACACGUGGGUGACCUGCCUUCGAGCGGGGGAUAACGUCCCGAAAGGGACGCUAAUACCGCAUAACAUCCUGCCUUUGAAGAGGCGGUGAUCAAAGCUGGGGAUCGCAAGACCUAGCACUCGAAGAGGGGCCCGCGUCCGAUUAGCUAGUUGGUGGGGUAAUGGCCCACCAAGGCAACGAUCGGUAGCCGGCCUGAGAGGGCGGACGGCCACACUGGGACUGAGACACGGCCCAGACUCCUACGGGAGGCAGCAGUGGGGAAUUGUUCGCAAUGGGCGCAAGCCUGACGACGCAACGCCGCGUGGAGGAUGAAGAUCUUCGGGUCGUAAACUCCUUUCGAUCGAGACGAAUUCCUCCGGGGUGAACAAUCCCGGAGGUUGACGGUACCGAGAGAAGAAGCCCCGGCUAACUCCGUGCCAGCAGCCGCGGUAAUACGGGGGGGGCAAGCGUUGUUCGGAAUUACUGGGCGUAAAGGGCUCGUAGGUGGCCAACUAAGUCGGACGUGAAAUCCCUCGGCUUAACCGGGGAACUGCGUCCGAUACUGGUUGGCUUGAGUUUGGGAGAGGGAUGCGGAAUUCCAGGUGUAGCGGUGAAAUGCGUAGAUAUCUGGAGGAACACCGGUGGCGAAAGGCGGCAUCCUGGACCAAUACUGACGCUGAGGAGCGAAAGCCAGGGAGCAAACGGGAUUAGAUACCCCGGUAGUCCUGGCCCUAAACGAUGAAUGCUUGGNGUGNGGUAUCGAUCCCUGCCGUGCCGAAGCUAACGCAUUAAGCAUUCCGCCU